rnacentral:ncRNA from 1 species
AUAAAAUUUUAUGAUUUAAAUAAUUUAUUUUAAGUUUAAUUUACAUGUAAAUUUUUGUAUGAAUUUUAUUGUAUUUUAAAAAUAUAAUAGAUAAAUUAACAGUAAUUAAAAUUAAAAAUUUAAGAAAUUAAGAUUUAGAAAUAUAUAAUUAAAUAACAAAUUCUGUGCCAGCAGUUGCGGUUAUACAGAAAUUUAAAUAAAUUUUAUUGAUAAAAAUAAAUAAUUAAAUUUAAAUUAAAUUUAAGAUUAUUAAGUGAAAUUUUAAUUUUAUAAAAAUUUAUAUAUUAAUUAUGAAUUUUAAAAUUUUAUUAAUAAACUAGGAUUAGAUACCCUAUUAUAAAAAAUUAAUUAAAAAAUAUUAAAAUAGUAAAUAAUUAUUUAUUGAAACUUAAAUAAUUUGGCGGUAUUUUAGUUCAUUUAGAGGAAUCUGUCUAUUAAUUGAUAGUCCACGAAUAAUUAUAUUUAAUUUAAAAUUUUAUAUAUCGUUGUUAAAAAAAUAUUUUAUAAGAAAAAUAAUAUUUUAAAGUUUGAAGUUAAAAUUAAUUCAGAUCAAGAUGUAGAUAAUAAUUAAAUUUAAGAUGGAUUACAGUAUAAUUAUAUAAGUGGAUAAUAAUUUUAAAAUAAUUAUUUGAAAUUGGAUUUAAAUGUAAUUUUAAAUAGUUUUUUAAAAUGAUUAAAAAUUGAAAUAUGUACAUAUUGCCCGUCACUUUCAUUUAAAAAUUGAAAUAAGUCGUAACAAAGUAGGAGUACUGGAAAGUGUUCCUAGAAAGA